CCUACGGGAGGCAGCAGUGGGGAAUAUUGCACAAUGGGGGAAACCCUGAUGCAGCGACGCCGCGUGAGUGUAGAAGUAUUUCGGUAUGUAAAGCUCUAUCAGCCGGGAAGAAAAUGACGGUACCUGAUUAAGAAGCCCCGGCUAACUACGUGCCAGCAGCCGCGGUCAUACGGAGGAUGCGAGCUUUAUCCGGAUUUAUUGGCUUUAGCGGGUGCGCAGGCGGGCUGUUAAUCCGGCGGUAAAAAGUCAGGGCUCAACCCUAUCGAGCCGUCGGAACUGGCAGUCUUGAGUGGGCGAGAAGUAUGCGGAAUGCGUGGUGUAGCGGUGAAAUGCAUAGAUAUCACGCAGAACGCCGAUUGCGAAGGCAGCAUACCGGCGCCCAACUGACGCUGAGGCACGAAAGCGUGGGGAUCGAACAGGAUUAGAUACCCCAGUAGUC
rnacentral:rRNA from 1 species